rnacentral:rRNA from 1 species
UACAGAGACUGCAAGCGUUAUUCGGAUUCACUGGGCGUAAAGGGUGCGCAGGCGGCCAAGUGUGUGAGGCGUGAAAGCCUGGAGCUUACUCCAGAAUUGCACCUCAAACUACUUGGCUAGAGCAUUGGAGAGGGUAGCAGAAUUCAUGUGUAGCAGUGAAAUGCGUAGAUAUCAUGAGGAAUACCAGAGGCGAAGGCGGCUACCUGGACAAUUGCUGACGCUCAGGCACGAAAGCGUGGGGAGCAAAAGGG